UUCACCCACUUCUCUCUCUCUCUCUCUCUACACGACUGUUCAUGAAUGGUCUUCUUCGUGAUCUUCCACAGCUUUCUUGAACUGUGUUUGUAAAGGCUUCAUGCAAACGGAAUUUCCACCAACCACAAUUCAAGAAAGCUGUGGAAAACCGCUGAGAUGAUCUGCAUCGUCACCUGUACUCUCUCACAGUACUAUCAACCAAUACAUCAGCAGAAUUUUCGUUUUGGAGGUGCUGUCGCAGCACACAGAGCUAACGAAGGGACCGCCGUUUGUCUUCUUUCUUGAGAACAUCACCACAUAUUCAUGCAGGUUCCGGUGACGAAAUACCAGAUCUCUUCCGUCUGCUCCGAUCUGGAAACUGAGCUAACCGACGCUUACGGUUACAUUUCGCUGUAGCUACUGGAUGCAUUAUCGAACAACUCCAACAAAAGUAAAUCUGAUAUAUACUCUGCUAUGAUCUCUUUUUUAUUACCUCUUGUGGCCCUUAAUUCUCAACUCCAAUAGGUUCUGUGCCUUUUCACGCAUUUGAUGUUUUCGGUUCUUCUGAGCAGCAUCCUUGAAACUGCCCAGUUUGGUAAAAGAGACACGCAGGCGUGACGCACAUGAAGGUGAAAAUUUUCGACAUUAGUUGAAGCGGAGGCUUCGUUUUUCCUCUGGAGCAGAAAAGAAAUUGUACGUUACCAGUGCCGCUCGUUGUCAAUACGUACAAGCAAGCUUCACCCUCACCCUCUCCUCCCUUCUUUCUUUUUUUGUUUUAAUGUUUAAUUCUUCCGUAUUCUGAUUUUCUCUCCUUCAAUACAAGAUAGCUCCUUCUUUUCAUGAUCCAAAUUUAUGGGAUUUUCUCAUGACAAUGCUGAAAUAAAUCAAGUAAUCAAGAAUCAUUUGAAUUACUGGACAGAAUAAAUCCACGUUGUGUGAUUUUUUCUUCUUCUUUGUUUUGCAGACAAUCAUUAGCCCAUCCCUUCAUAGCAGAAAGGCGCACAACUUGUUUCCUUUUUUCUUCAACGGCGGUUGCUAGUGACAGGCCACCACUGUCCACUGUGGCGUGAUGAGGUGCUUUGGCUCAAGGGUGCAGGCGGCAUGUGGUCUUGUCUAGAGACGCUCCUGUGUUAAUUCUCAUAUCUUUAGAACUCUGUCUCUCAACCCAAAGUCAUUGGGAGGGGAAAAUUUGCUAUAUUCCUCGUGUCGUGAACCAUAUGUAAUUUGAUUCGGAAUUGUAUGAUUCCAUUAUUAUGUCACAAGUUUCGCUGGGUUCAUGUGAAAAUUGAAUCUAAAAAUCUCAGUUCUUUAGCUUCC